CCUACGGGAGGCAGCAGUAGGGAAUAUUGCUCAAUGGGGGAAACCCUGAAGCAGCAACGCCGCGUGGAGGAUGAAGGUUUUAGGAUUGUAAACUCCUUUUGUGAGAGAAGAUUAUGACGGUAUCUAACGAAUAAGCACCGGCUAACUCCGUGCCAGCAGCCGAGGUAAUACGGAGGGUGCAAGCGUUAAUCGGAAUUACUGGGCGGAAAGAGGGCGUAGGCGGGGUAAUAAGUCAGAUGGGAAAUCCUGUAGCUUAAAUAUAGAACUGCAUUUGAAACUGUUACUCUGGAGUGUGGGAGAGGUAGGUGGAAUUCUUGGUGUAGGGGGAAAAUGCGUAGAGAUCAAGAGGAAUACUCAUUGCGAAGGCGACCUGCUGGAACAUGACUGACGCUGAGGCACGAAAGCGUGGGGAGCAAACAGGAUUAGAUACCCUUGUAGUC
rnacentral:rRNA from 1 species